rnacentral:rRNA from 1 species
GCAGGCCUAACACAUGCAAGUCGAGCGGUAGAGAGAAGCUUGCUUCUCUUGAGAGCGGCGGACGGGUGAGUAAUGCCUAGGAAUCUGCCUGGUAGUGGGGGAUAACGUUCGGAAACGGACGCUAAUACCGCAUACGUCCUACGGGAGAAAGCAGGGGACCUUCGGGCCUUGCGCUAUCAGAUGAGCCUAGGUCGGAUUAGCUAGUUGGUGAGGUAAUGGCUCACCAAGGCGACGAUCCGUAACUGGUCUGAGAGGAUGAUCAGUCACACUGGAACUGAGACACGGUCCAGACUCCUACGGGAGGCAGCAGUGGGGAAUAUUGGACAAUGGGCGAAAGCCUGAUCCAGCCAUGCCGCGUGUGUGAAGAAGGUCUUCGGAUUGUAAAGCACUUUAAGUUGGGAGGAAGGGUUGUAGAUUAAUACUCUGCAAUUUUGACGUUACCGACAGAAUAAGCACCGGCUAACUCUGUGCCAGCAGCCGCGGUAAUACAGAGGGUGCAAGCGUUAAUCGGAAUUACUGGGCGUAAAGCGCGCGUAGGUGGUUUGUUAAGUUGGAUGUGAAAUCCCCGGGCUCAACCUGGGAACUGCAUUCAAAACUGACUGACUAGAGUAUGGUAGAGGGUGGUGGAAUUUCCUGUGUAGCGGUGAAAUGCGUAGAUAUAGGAAGGAACACCAGUGGCGAANG